CGGGAAUUUUGGGCAAUGGGCGAAAGCCUGACCCAGCAACGCCGCGUGAGGGAUGAAGUAUUUCGGUAUGUAAACCUCGAAAGAAUGGGAAGAAUAAAUGACGGUACCAUUUAUAAGCUCCGGCUAACUACGUGCCAGCAGCCGCGGCACUACGUAGGGAGCAAGCGUUGUUCGGAUUUACUGGGCGUAACGGGCGCGUAGGCGGCGCGGUAAGUCACUUGUGAAAUCUCUGAGCUUAACUCAGAACGGCCAAGUGAUACUGCUGUGCUAGAGUGCGGAAGAGGAAACCGGGAUUCUUGGUGGAGAGGUGAAAUGCGUAGAUAUCAAGAGGAACACCGGGGGCGAAGGCGGGUUGCUGGGCCGACACUGACGCUGAUGCGCGAAAGCCAGGGG
rnacentral:rRNA from 1 species